rnacentral:lncRNA from 1 species
UCGGUACAUGUGAUGGAAGAUCAUUAGAACCAAGCAAAGAGUAGUUUAGAAUUAAGCAUUACACGAUACUAUCCACUAUAGUUUGAGUCAUGUACAACACAAGGACCUUAGCACCAUGUAUGUGACUGCAAGCUAUGAUUUUUGCGACGCUGUUUAAUAUCUUGAAGAAACAUUUUCAGAAACAAAUACCCCUAAAAUGUAGAUCUUGGUGAGUUGCACCAUAUGAGUUGUUAUUCCUGUAGUCAUUGCACAGUAUGCUAAGGUUCAGACAAGGGCAGCAAAAUGAGGCCCUGGUUACAAAAAGGACCUGAUCAAGUAGGUGGAUGUGCAAGCUAAUUGAAUGUUGCGACGAUGUAACAGUAUCCCUAUGAUCAAAUGCAGAAUUGGAAUUGUGGCAAUGUGUUCC